rnacentral:rRNA from 1 species
GAUGAACGCUGGCGGCGGGCCUAAUACAUGCAAGUCGAGCGAACAGACGAGGAGCUUGCUCCUCUGACGUUAGCGGCGGACGGGUGAGUAACACGUGGAUAACCUACUUAUAAGACUGGGAUAACUUCGGGAAACCGGAGCUAAUACCGGAUAAUAUAUUGAACCGCAUGGUUCAAUAGUGAAAGACGGUUUUCCUGUCACUUAUAGAUGGAUCCGCGCCGCAUUAGCUAGUUGGUAAGGUAACGGCUUACCAAGGCAACGAUGCGUAGCCGACCUGAGAGGGUGAUCGGCCACACUGGAACUGAGACACGGUCCAGACUCCUACGGGAGGCAGCAGUAGGGAAUCUUCCGCAAUGGGCGCAAGCCUGACGGAGCAACGCCGCGUGAGUGAUGAAGGUCUUCGGAUCGUAAAACUCUGUUAUUAGGGAAGAACAACUGUGUAAGUAACUAUGCACGUCUUGACGGUACCUAAUCAGAAAGCCCCGGCUAACUACGUG